rnacentral:piRNA from 1 species
CUCCCUGAGGACCUGAGAGGCGUCCUUCCCC